GGAGUUAGCCGGUGCUUCUUCUGUGAGUGAUGUCCUUCCUGCCGGCUAUUAACCCGCAGGCCUUCUUCCUCACUGAAAGUGCUUUACAACCCGAAGGCCUUCUUCACACACGCGGCAUGGCUGGAUCAGGGUUGCCCCCAUUGUCCAAUAUUCCCCACUGCUGCCUCCCGUAGGAGUCUGGGCCGUGUCUCAGUCCCAGUGUGGCUGAUCAUCCUCUCAGACCAGCUACGGAUCGUCGCCUUGGUGAGCCGUUACCUCACCAACCAGCUAAUCCGACAUAGGCUCAUCCGAUAGCGCGAGGCCCGAAGGUCCCCCGCUUUCCCCCGUAGGGCGUAUGCGGUAUUAGCCUGGGUUUCCCCAGGUUAUCCCCCACUACCGGGCAGAUUCCUAUGCAUUACUCACCCGUCCGCCGCUCGCCACCAGGGAGCAAGCUACCCGUGCUGCCGCUCGACUUGCAUGUGUUAGGCCUGCCGCCAGCGUUCAAUCUGAACCAAGAUCAAAUUCUGA
rnacentral:rRNA from 1 species